CGGUAAAUAGAAACUGUGAUGAGUAAGAGGGCGUGAAUACUGUACCGAAGACUUGGGUGUGAACCUAGUUGGAACAGUAUUUAGUGCAGAUCUUGGUGGUAGUAGCAAAUAUUCAAAAUGAGAACUUUGAAGGCCGAAGUGGAGAAGGGUUCCAUGAGAACAGCAUUUGGUCAUGGGUUACUCGCUCCUAAGACAUAGGGAAAUUCCUUGUAAUACACGUGCUCUUACGAGUACGAAGUCGAAAGGGAAUGAGGUUAAUAUUCCUCAAGUAGGGUGUGGGAUGAAAUGUGGCAACAACAAAAUGUAGCUUGGAGACAUCGGUAUGUACCCCUGGAAGAGUUCUCUUUUCUUCUUAACAGUUUUAUCUCCCUGAAUGAAUUAUUCAGAGAUAGGGAUGUAUAACUGGCAGAGCAGCUCACUUUUCGGGCUGUCAGGUGUGUUCAUAACGAUCCUUGAAAAUCCAA
rnacentral:rRNA from 1 species